rnacentral:tRNA from 2 species
GCGCCCGUAGCUCAGCUGGAUAGAGUACCUGGCUACGAACCAGGGGGUCGUGGGUUCAAUUCCUGCCGGGCGCGCCA